AUUUCCUUCGCCUUCUCCUACUGUUAUUCCGUUACAGAAAAAUAAAACCCAUUAACACCACCAUUCAAUCCCUUUGAAUCAUACGUUAUGAAAACACCAUUAUGUUUCUUUACCGAUCCCUACAAAUAUUCGAUUACAUAAACCCCCCAAAAAAGUUAUCCUGCGCAGAUUCUCAAUGCUUACCAAUCCCCUUUUUCCUUUCAUGAGCAUUGCCUGAUUUUGUUGUUGCAGAUUUUGGAGCACCACGGAUUUAUAGCUCAGACUUUCAGAUCAUCUCUUUAUGAUGGGAAUUAUGUAGAGGCUUUUAGUCAGCCAAAGAUCCUAAUGAGAAAAACUGUGUUGUAGAAGGCUUCUUUGUUUUUAAUCUAAGCAAGCUGAAAACCGGUUUAAAUCAGUAAUUUGGGUACAAGCCAUAUCACAACAUUAUUAGGAUAAAGCUGGCCCAGAUCAAGCUCAGCAGGACCGCUCCAACUGUUUUCGACCCGUUGGUGAAUCCAAAAUCCUUCCCCAUCACAUGUUGAGUUACCAGGAAAUCUGAAGAGGUUAGAUGUUACUAUCGUGGAUAUGGUUAUCCUGGAUGAAGGAGUAUGUAAGGAAUUGGGUCCUCGCUAAAAUCUUUCAUUGUCUGCACAAUUUUAGAUCUUUUGUAUCUCUAAAUGCUUGGCUAUGCAUACAAGACACAAAAUUGCAUGACAUCACUCCCAAAAUUCAAAAAACUAACCCAAAUCGUGUAAUGAAGUUGUCUAUAGAACCUGUUAAUAUGUAUGUAAUAUGUGUUACAAUACUUUGUUACUGUAAGACAGAUAUUAUAAGCCAAGCGAAGCAGGGUCGAAGAUAAGCUGAAGACUGAUAUUCAAACUGUUGGGACAACCAGUUCUUGCUUCGGCAUUAUACCAAGCAUGGAAUAAAGGCGCUGCUAGCCCUACAAGUGCCACUAGCUCUAGCUUGGUAGUUAUUUGCACAACAGGAGUUAAGAUAGUGGAGAAUGCUUCUGAGUUGUUCUGGAAAUUAAGCAGGUCCUAAAUCACGGCGCUAACAAAAUGAAUUAGCCUGACAUGAUGAUACGAAGUUAAAAUUUUCUGAAUAUAGUUUGAUGUAUCAAACAACACUUAUUAUACAUCCAAUUAACAUUGUAUGGAGUGCGAGAAACUAAUUCGUUGGAGUAGCAAGUUAUAUGGUCAUUUUGAUUUACUGCUUAACCAUUAGUUUUGGUGGUUUAGAAUUGGUCGCACUUAGUUGUACAUUUCCCUCUCUUCUUCUUUUUUAAUUUGAAAUUAAAUGGUAGGGAUUGCAUUA